rnacentral:rRNA from 1 species
AUUGAACGCUGGCGGCAGGCCUAACACAUGCAAGUCGAACGGUAACAGGAAACAGCUUGCUGUUUCGCUGACGAGUGGCGGACGGGUGGGUAAUGUCUGGGAAACUGCCUGAUGGAGGGGGAUAACUGCUGGAAACGGUAGCUAAUACCGCAUAACGUCGCAAGACCAAAGAGGGGGACCUUCGGGCCUCUUGCCAUCGGAUGUGCCCAGAUGGGAUUAGCUAGUAGGUGGGGUAACGGCUCACCUAGGCGACGAUCCCUAGCUGGUCUGAGAGGAUGUCCAGCCAUACUGGAACUGAGACACGGUCCAG